CCCACCUCCUUCCGCUGGAGGCAGCCGUCGCGGGCGAGCGAGCGACGGCGGCAGCCGGAGCGAGGGAGUCCGCGGCGCCGUGACGGGUCGCUCCUCCGACCCACGCGCUGACGCCGGCUGGCCGUCCGCUCCUCCGCCGACUGGCUAUGCACACCGACCCGCACCGAUACGAGCUGGGUAAAAUCCCACCCACCGCCCAGUUCCCACCAGCGAAUGGCCUCCGCCCCUGCUUUUAGCGCGCCGCCGCCGGCCUCCCACCACACGCGCCGCCACCAUGCUACCGUCACACAAGCCGCCACCGGCCUCCCGCAAGACUCUCCGCCGCCGGCCCCCGCUUCCACCCGCCAUCAGCCACCUUCAAGGGACACCCAGUCACCUUCACCGCCGCCACGAGCGACGCGCCUCCUCCCAUGGAUUCGGUCGCCACCCUGCGCCUCCUACUGGCGACGAGCCCAGUCCUCCUGCCUUCUUCCAGCAACACGCGCCGUUCAACGCCACCACCACUACCAGUUCAACACUGCCCCGACAAAUCCUGUGCGUCAACCCCCUGGCUGACUUUGUUUCUCUCAACUUCAAGAAGAGGUUCAAUUCAGAAGUUUGAACAAGAAAAAUAGGUUCAUUUCAGAACUUGCGUGUGGUGUAUGUACUGCUGCUAACCUUGUUUUGCUUCUUUACAAAGCCUCUAGGAAUAUUAGUACUGAAUUGUUUCUGUCAGCUCCAGCGGGCAAGUGGCCCUGCACAACAACAUGCAGCGAUUCAACAGGGGAGUGUGGGUCAGUACCACGCCGACAAGUCAAGUAGACGUCCUUUGCAUCACGAACUGGUGCAGUUCGAUCUUGCGCAAGCAGGAAAUUCCCUAGUGCCGAGUGUGUCAGUACCACCCUACACAGCAGCAAACAUUGUCUUCUUGCAGCUUCCAUUGAACAAUUAAUCCAAGGAAUUUUGGGUGGAGCAACAUUUGUCGGUCUUAGGAAUCUCGGUCAUUAUUCACCACCAGCCAUGGUGAUGGUCAUUGCUGCUCUUUCCAUCGCAUGGGAGCCGGUUGUUGCUGCCCUUCAAUAUCUCUAUUUCUGAACUAUUGUUGCUUGCUAUCUCACCCCUCUCAAAAUUGUUCGAUGAUUCGUGUACAGAGAAAUUAAAUACCUUUUUUGUGUUUCUUUUUUAAGUCAUUAUAUGCUCUCGAAAUGUUUAUGUUUAUGCCUCAAGAGAGAGAGAGAGAGAGAGAGAGAGAGAGAGAGAGAAAACCAGUACGUGUGUCUCACACUCUGUUACAUAACAUUUUAAUUAUCUUUGCCACAAAGCUUCAUUUAUCCAGAGAAGUUCAAAGUAAAGAUUAAUUCACACUUUAGGUUUUUCUCCUUUUGUCUAUUUGUUCAGUUCUGACUCCUUCGGUUUUGGUUGCAGAGAAAGUUCAAAGUUCAUGCUCCUUUGUUUUUUGUCAAGUCAGGCAGAGUCAGGUUUUGCUUGGGCAUCAUCUCAUCUCGUCCGUUCAGCAAAAGCCUCCAGAUAAGUUUACACUUGUGGUUUUGCUCGUUGGUUUAAUUCUUUAGUCCACACUCCUUGGGUUUUUGAUCUAGAGAAGUUAAAGAAAACCUGUAGAGGUUUGUGGUAAGUUAUGUUUCAUUUGAAGCAGGAACAUCAACUGCCACACCGAUUGAGUUAUGUAUAAUUCGAAACCCUGCCGGGCACGCCGCCGUCGGCCCCCUGCCCCAGCAAGCCGCCUCCACAACCUCCCUCCCUCAGUGCGGCGCCACCUAGCCCCUGCCUCUGAGCGCCACCACCUACCUCCGAGCACCGCCGGUCUUCGCGCACAACUGUCCCACUGCUGCCUCGCGCGCCAACUCUGUCCUGAGGCUAGCCACGGUGGUGGAUCACCGAGGGAUGGCCGGUCCUUGCCACCGGCGGCCGCACUCCCGAUGUGUCCCGUGCGAUUCCGUCAAUAGAGGCUUGCUCCCAUCACCAUCCUCCUUCCAGAGUACAAUGGCAAUGGUGACAACGUCUAGUAGGUCCUCAUGUGCCUCUGCUCGCCCUGCCUUCACCAUCGGCCAGCCGUGAAAAUCCCUCUAAAAAAGUUUAGGUAAAAUGUGGAUCCCUGUACAAAGUUCAGUUAAGUUCAGUACAAAAAGUUCAACUAAUUUCUGGUGAUGUUUAAGCUAAGUUCAGUGGAAAAUUCAAGCUCAGUUCAAUCAAAAAAAUCAAGUCAAAAAUUGCAUGAAGCCCCCGCUGCUUGCGUUGGUGCGCUGCUGCUGUUUGUUGCUGCAGCAGGGUGAUCUGAGUUGAGAGAGAGAGAGAGAGAGAGAUAAUAAAAUGGAAUGAUCUUCCACAUUGCCUAACUCGUGGCACAAUUAGUUAAUUUCUUGAUUUAGUCCAAUUGAAUUCCUAAUUUUGUUUCAGUUCAAUGACUGCUAUCUCUCUUAGUUUUGUCCUCUUUUUAUGUAGCCUCCCAGUUGAAGUUCACCUCCAUGUGCUACUCCAUUCGUAGCUCCCAGCCUACCCUCGAGCAAGUACAUGCCAUGCACGAGAUCAGUUCAACCUGUGCACUUGUUCAACCUCGACGCUUGUGGCAGUCCCACAAGGACGAGUGUGGUCUACGAUCGAGCAGUUGGUUCCCAAGCGAGUUCCUGGCUAAAGGUGGGCUUCCACGUUGAGGUGUGGAACGCAAUGUACAUGGAGAUCCUGAUGUAGUAUGAUGAUGGCGAUGUGGCGCGGGUGGACCUCAUGGAGUUCGGCUGGGCUGGCGACGGUCAGCGGUGGACGCAGGUCCAUGAGUUGUGGGGCUCCAUCUGCCGCUCGACCACCGCUUACUCCCACUCUGUUCACUGGUUUUGUUUUCACUCUCACGCCUGUUCCUCGUCGAUCUGUAGCAGCAGGAGACACGAGAUCACCUCCGGCACCACUGGUCACAUGAAGGCUGUCAAAAAAUGAAGAUGGUGAACUGUGGGAGUACUUCCCUUGCUCUUUCUUCUACAUCAAGGUCAAAAAAGCCCUUCAUCUGCAUCCAUCUGCGGCAGGAACACUGCUUUGACAUCAGGAACUCUCACGAGGGAGAUUGGACUAACUGCAAGAAAAAAAGCUCAGUUCUACAGACAGCCCCCACCGCCCACAUGGAUUACUUCCUCCGGUCCUCAUCCAGCGGCCAAAUCCCGACACACCUGAUAGUUGAAACUUACACAUGGCCUGCGACCAACUGCGCCGCCUCUAGAAGCUCCUUGGGAAUGACUUGGUAGUAGCUGGGAUCCCCUUACAGCGGCAAAAUCCCGGCGCACCCAGCCGCCGCUCGUGAUCCCUGCUCCUUCAGCUCGACUUCGCCGGUGCCGUCAGUCCACAGGAGUAGGAGCGUCAUGCCCGGCAACAAACAAGAACAGAAGGAACUGCACGCUAUAUAUAGAAUUUCUACAGAAACUGCUGCACAUACAUGACUUAUGAGGCUACCAGAGGCUACUACACCUCCAGAUUAAUGACAGCCUGCAACUUACUUGCUUCCAACACACUAGUAACACAUUCUAAGGUUCGUAAUCGGCUACUUAAUAGCGCGGUUGCUAUUAUGUGAGUAAAGGUCCUCAUUUUGUUGAUGGUGGCAUCUUACAAAGAAAAGUGCGCCGCCCCGCCCGCAAUGUCGUUGUUGCUUGCUAGCUGCUGGUGGUUCGUGUGCCCUGGUCGCUGCUGCUAUAGGGUAAGGAAGUUCGAGAUGGGAACACUUGUUUCAAAUGCUCUCCUCCCAUUCGCAAUGCUGCCAACAAGGAAAACCUCUGGGAAGCUCUGCUGUACAAACACAUCAGCAUAGUGAGUAAGGAUGUGGCACCUUGGGGAAUAAUGCCUACAAAGCAAGCCCAGGAUGACGACGCUGAUCACUAGCAUGAAGGAUACCAAGCAGGCUAAGGAUGAAGUAUCCGAUGAAGGCAAUGAGGAUAAUGAAAACAUGCAAUCCAUAAACAUAGCAGCAGCUGCAAGUUCUUCUGUGUAUGAUAAUAUGAUUGCUACUUUUUAAAAGAAAGUGUAUAUGAUAGUUUGAUGUUUCUACAAGAAAGGAAAAAAAUGGUUUGAAUUAAAAACAUUGAUCAGUAUGAAUAAAAAA